AUACCUUUCUCGGCCUUUUGGCUAAGAUCAAGUGUAGUAUCUGUUCUUUAUCAGUUUAAUAUCUGAUACGUGGGUUAUUAGUUCACAUGAUAUUAACUCAUUUUUUUAAGGGAAAGCCCAUUAAAGUAGUUUGCUGUCUGGGUUUUCAAGUGUCGCCUUGGCGUUGCACUAUUGCUUUGGCCUGGCGCACCCCAC
rnacentral:snRNA from 1 species